CAAGCGGUGGAGCAUGUGGUUAAUUCGAAGCAACGCGAAGAACCUUACCAGGUCUUGACAUCCCGAUGCUAUUUCUAGAGAUAGAAAGUUACUUCGGUACAUCGGUGACAGGUGGUGCAUGGUUGUCGUCAGCUCGUGUCGUGAGAUGUUGGGUUAAGUCCCGCAACGAGCGCAACCCCUAUUGUUAGUUGCCAUCAUUCAGUUGGGCACUCUAGCGAGACUGCCGGUAAUAAACCGGAGGAAGUGGGGAUGACGUCAAAUCAUCAUGCCCCUUAUGACCUGGGCUACACACGUGCUACAAUGGGCGGUACAAAGGGUCGCGAACCCGCGAGGGGGAGCCAAUCCCAAAAAGCCGCUCUCAGUUCGGAUUGCAGGCUGCAACUCGCCUGCAUGAAGCCGGAAUCGCUAGUAAUCGCGGAUCAGCAUGCCGCGGUCGAAUACGUUCCGGGCCUU
rnacentral:rRNA from 1 species